UCGUCCUCAUCAGCCGCUGCUCCUCCCUUCGGUUCGUCUUCUCCUUUCGUCCUCCUCUUUCUCUCGUUGCCUUGACCUUUUAGCUCGACUUCGGUAUCCGAUUCUUCUUCGGCUUGUUCUACCUUGGGCGAAUAACUUCCCCGUGAUUUGAGGGUCGAGGGUUUCGAUUGUCUUCCUCUGGAUUCGGAGACGAACGAUUCCGGAAUCCGAUUGAUGUUCUUUUUGCUCUUUCUUGUUCUUCGGAUCGAGAUUAGGGUGGUUGCAGUGGAUUGUGUGCUGCUGCUGUUGGCAGAUGCUCGCAUGUCGGGUUGACAACGAGAGAGAGCACGCCGGUCCGCAAUCAUGGGAGCGGCCAUGGCUGUGUGUACCAGCGUGCUCUUUCUCGUCGUCACCUGGCUCGCUCGCCCUCGUGAUGGAGCGUCUUCUUUGCCCGGAAACCCUCCAGAUUCCAAGAAUUUUUGGAAAACCGUCUUGGGGGUUGUCACUCAACUGAGCUCUUUCAACAUCUAAAGAUGGCAGAAGCAGAAAACUGUGCUCAAAGCUGCCUGCUUGCCUUUUCACUAUCAAGUUAAAAUCUCCUGGACUCCGUAACACUCAGGGUUAGUACAAAGAUUGGUCAGAGCCUUCCGAAAGAACCAUGUCGGAAGCCCAAGCUCAAAGAGAGAUCCCAAAUGGCAGCGAAGACAAAGAUGCAUAUGCCCGAAGACCAACCACUUAGUGCUACAGAUCCAUCAGUCUUCCCAGCCGUGGCAGUCUCCAACUCCCAAGUGUUAAAGUUGGUGGAGAGGGAUGAACCGUGGAGCCCCUACCAAUUUGUUUUAUGUGUCACAAUCUGGUGUCGCAGGAUACCAUGAGGGAGGAGGGAGGAUAUUCCAAGCAAGCCAUUCAAAGACACUGAUGAUAUAUGUGGUUAUUAUGUUCAUCUACUUAUAAUCGAAAAGUUCGGACCACAUCGAAAUCUGAAAAAUACUAUAGCAUCGAAUCUCCAUUUGGCCCAUGCUCUAAUGGCACAUUAAUUAGAAGAUGUUAACCAUCUUCUUCUUGAUUCACUUCAUUGUCAAGAUUUCACCAUAUCGAGAUGAUAUAAACGUAGUAUCGAAGGAGAAUUAUCAAAAUACUCUAUGGUACAUCACAAGAAUAUUUUUUGGUUUCUAGACAGGAAGGAGAAGCAGUAGAAAAUAAAGCGUACAGGGAAGAUAUAUUAUAUAUAAAUGCUGACUUGAAUUCUAUUACUUACACAGUCAUAAAAACACUUUAAAGCAGCCCCAUUAAAUUUGCAUU